rnacentral:rRNA from 1 species
UACGUAGGUGGCAAGCGUUGUCCGGAAUUAUUGGGCGUAAAGCGCGCGCAGGCGGCCUCUUAAGUCUGAUGUGAAAAGCCCCCCGGCUCAACCGGGGAGGGCCAUUGGAAACUGGGAGGCUUGAGUAUAGGAGAGAAGAGUGGAAUUCCACGUGUAGCGGUGAAAUGCGUAGAGAUGUGGAGGAACACCAGUGGCGAAGGCGACUCUUUGGCCUAUAACUGACGCUGAGGCGCGAAAGCGUGGGGAGCAAACAGG